UACGAAGGGGGCUAGCGUUGCUCGGAAUCACUGGGCGUAAAGGGUGCGUAGGCGGGUCUUUUAAGUCAGGGGUGAAAUCCUGGAGCUCCGAACUCCAGAACUGCCUUUGAUACUGAAGAUCUUGAGUGUGAGAGAGGUGGUGUGGAACUCCGAGUGUAGAGGUGAAAUUCGUAGAUAUUCGGAAGAACACCAGUGGCGAAGGCGACGACACUGGCUCACUACUGACGCUGAGGCGCGAAAGCGUGGGGAGCAAACAGG
rnacentral:rRNA from 1 species